rnacentral:lncRNA from 1 species
ACAAACAAAAGGUGGACUGAGUUCGUUGAUUGUCUCUGUUUCUCGAAAUCGAGGUAAGAUUCUUUUUUGUUUUCUUCACUCGUGAUUUUGUGUUCUGAGAAAUUGAUGUUCUGAAAAUUUGAGGAAAACGGGUUUGAGUUUAGUUUGUUUGAUGUGUUGUGUGCAUUUUCUCCAUGAAAAUAUGAACUAUCUUUUGGUUGAUAUCAUUGUAUUGUAGUGUUUGGUAUUGAAACACGCGUGGAUGAUUUCUUUGUUUUUGUUUUGUCUAAUUUGAUGUUCGGUUAUUGUUUCGUCUUUGUAUAUGUCACCGUCUUUGUGUUUCUAUGUCACUGUAUUUUACUGUGUUUGUGUGUUUUGUGUCUCGUUUGUGGUAUCAUGUAUGUGUGGUAUGGCAAAGAAAUUGCAGACAGUGUCACCUACCAACAAUGUUACCAAUCGUAUAACUUCUGAAAGUUUUUGUUGGCUACAUGACAGGAUCCUUGAGGAGAGUCUAAGAGGUCAUAAAGCUCGAGAGUUGAUGCUGACACCUAGUGGUGUUUGUCUUUCAUAUUUUGUCCUUUAGUUUGGUUUGAGUCGUUGCCUCAAGACCUUUGUUCUUUCUCUUAAGUAAUGAAA